GGGUGCAGAAAAUAAUUGACUAUUUAAAUCCAUUUGAAUGAAGUAUUACUAUUCAUCUUUUACGAAUUGGCCUAAAUACAGAUAUUUUGGGAGAUAAGUGUAACCAUGGUUAUAAGAUUAAUAUUUAUUUUGGAAUGACGGAAGGAAAAAUAUUUUCUUUUGUCUAUCUCAAUUAGUAUAGACAGAUCGGUCAUCGGAUAGAUGAAUGGUAAAAUCCUUCAAAAAUGAAGU
rnacentral:lncRNA from 1 species